UCUCUCUGUAGUGUAGUAGUUACACGUUCGCCUCACACGCGAAAGGUCCCUGGUUUAAAGAGCAUAGUGCAGGUUGGAGAC